rnacentral:rRNA from 1 species
UACGAAGGGGGCUAGCGUUGCUCGGAGUCACUGGGCGUAAAGCGCACGUAGGCGGACUCUUAAGUCGGUGGUGAAAUCCUGGAGCUCAACUCCAGAACUGCCUUCGAUACUGAGAGUCUCGAGUCCGAGAGAGGUGAGUGGAACUGCGAGUGUAGAGGUGAAAUUCGUAGAUAUUCGGAAGAACACCAGUGGCGAAGGCGGCUCACUGGCCCGGUACUGACGCUGAGGUGCGAAAGCGUGGGGAGCAAACAGG